AGGCAAUAGAUACCCAGGUAGUCCUGGCAGUAAACGGUGCGCGUUUGGUGUGGGAGGAUUCGACCCUUCUGUGCCGGAGCUAAACGCGUUAAACGCGCCGCCUGGGGAGUACGGUCGCAAGAUUAAAACUCAAAGAAAUUGACGGGGGCCCGCACAAGCGGUGGAGUAUGUGGCUUAAUUCGAUGCAACGCGAAGAACCUUACCUAGCCUUGACAUGCAUCUCUAAGUCGGUGAAAGCCGGCGACUAUAGCAAUAUAGAAUUUGCACAGGUGCUGCAUGGCUGUCGUCAGCUCGUGUCGUGAGAUGUUGGGUUUAAGUCCCGCAACGAGCGCAACCCCUGUGAACUGUUGCCACCUACAUUCGUGUAGAGCACUCUGUUCAGACUGCCCUGUGAAACGGGGAGGAAGGUGGGGAUGACGUCAAGUCAGCAUGGCCCUUACGGCUAGGGCUGCACACGUACUACAAUGCUCAGUACAGAACGAACCGAAACCGCGAGGUGGAGGAAAUCUAUAAAACUGAGCCCAAUUC
rnacentral:rRNA from 1 species